GAUGAAGAACGUAGCGAAAUGCGAUACGUAAUGUGAAUUGCAGAAUUCAGUGAAUCAUCGAAUCUUUGAACGCAUAUUGCGCUCUCUGGUAUUCCGGAGAGCAUGCUUGUUUGAGUAUCAGUAAACACCUCAACUCCCUUUUCUUUUUUGAAAUUGGAGCUGGACUUGAGUGAUCCCAACGCUUUCUUCCAAGAAAGUGGCGGGUUGCUUGAAAUGCAGGUGCAGCUUAACUUUUCUCUGAGCUAUAAGCAUAUCUAUUUAGUCUGCCUAAAAAACAGAUUAUUACCUUUGCUGCAGCUAACAUAAAGGAGACUAGUUCUUGUGCUGACUGAUGCAGGAUUCACAGAGACAGCUUCGGCUGACUUUGUAAACUCGAUCUCAAAUCAAGUAAGACUACCCGCUGAACUUAAGCAUAUCAAUAAGCGGAGGA
rnacentral:misc_RNA from 1 species